AAGAGUCCCUGAAUUCAGACUUCAGGCCGCGCCGUCCGAGAGUCGGGGCCCUUUGAGGUGGCUUAGGCGGUAUCCCUGAGUUGACAGCAUCACCCCGUCCCGCGUCCUCCUCUCCUCUGUUUUGUUUUUCAUCUCUCCCUCCUCCCUCCAGUCCCCGACGACUGGCCCUAGACCCUCGCUGAAGGUGAGCUGAGCCACCGGCGAGUGGGCCGCUCCGAAAUGGCCGCUGCCUUGAGCUGUCUAAAAUGGCGGUCUCGUGCUCGGCUGGGGACCGCGACGCGGCUCUGCAGCCCAGCCGCAGCCGAGACGGUAGGGCGAUGGAGAUGGAGUGGAAAGGUGUUGGGUGUGUUGACACGACUUCAUGUCGAUGGCACAGUCGACAUUCCUGGGGCGAGAGGAAUCCUGUGUCACCCACUGGUAGGCUAGGGCAAGAAGCAUGCCUCCGGGGGCGUGGUGCUCUGCGAGCAGUGCACGCCUGGCCCGGAGGGAUGGCUGUCACUGGCCGCAGGGCGAAGUGACCGCGUUGAAAUACUUCUAGGUCCUAGUGGAGCUGCCCGGCCCCUUCUGCUUCUUAACCUUUGCGAUUGGCCUGCGCUCCCGUUCACACCUAGGGCCGCCUGGCAGCAAAAGGCCCCUAAGGGGAGACCCUAGUGUUCCCUGAAAGGAACUGGAAACUUAGGAGGGCAGAUGCUUUGUCCCCAAGAGCUGCUGGGAUGUACCUCAGAAGAGAAAGGAAUACGGGGCCCUUUUAAGAAAACAAAGCUACUUUUUUUUGUGCCCACUUGACAACGAGGUGGGGAAACUUCAUUUUAUGGUGAACCAGUGGCUCCGAGAAGCUCUCUGUUUUGCUAAAUUUAAAUCGAGGCUGGAAGGAGAGUCCACUGCUAAGGAAUAGGUUUUCUAACUACUGCCUAGUUUAAGAUUGCUGCCUUCGCCUGUUACAACACGCUGGCAAUCUGUUUGUACACACACACCAACCUCUAGUACCAAAUGCUCGUUAUGCUUGAUGAAGUAGAAAACUCCCAAGUACUGUCGAGGCACGUGGGCUGCACAGUCAGUUUGGGAACUCUGUUCAUUCUUCACUGACUAAAUGUGUUAACCUAGCAGGUGCCAACUUCCCUGUAUCUUUCUCUAAAAUGCAGUCGUUGAUAAUCUCAGGUUCUUGACAAUUAGAUGAAUUAACCUUUAUGAGGAAUUGGGCACAGAUACUAACAGGCCACAGAAAAUAAGAGAGUUACUCAGUAAGCAUUAAUUGUUAGAUCGGGGACAGACUGGUUAUAGUAACAGCAUAUGUCAUGUAACACUUGCAUAUCUGAUUCCACUUUAGAUUGAGUUUUUAGUUUUAGAGAUAUUGAAAUGGGGCUGUAUUUAAAAAAAAAAAAAAAACUCAGUUGGUUUUUAUUCCCACCACCACCACCCACGAAUGUUUCUAUGUCAGUGGGUAAAAAAGCAUUUCAAAGCAAGGAAAUUACCAGAACAGUAAGUGGAAUGGAAAAUAUUAGCAUAUUUACUUUACUACAUACUAGGCAUUCUCUGUUUACAUCCCAAGAGCUGCAUUGUAGUGAAAAAUCAUUUGUAUUGACUAUAUUUAAAAUAUGAUAAAUUGUCAUGGUAGACAUUGAUACUUCUGCUUGCUGCAGUGUCUGAUUUUAACUUUUCUUAUUCUAGGCUUCUGGUUACUCCCGUUCCCACCCUAUCCCUUAAUUUUAUUUUUCUGAAGAAUCUGCAGUUCAAGCUAUCAAGGUGGAGAGAGCAAUUACAGAAAGACGUGUUCAUUGUUUCAGGUAUUUUACCUACUAGGUGUUAACAGGAGAACCAUUUUGAUUGAAGAGCUAAAACGAUAGGAUAGAGCUUAAUCCUUAAGCACAUGGCAUUUAAAUCAACAGGAACAAUCUGUAUUCCUUUACAAAUUUAAUUUAAAUCUCAGGGAAUAUUCACUAGACGGUCUUAAGUUUGUAUUACCCUGUGUUACAUGAGAGGAAAAUCUAUUAAAGUGAGUUUAUAUUUUCUUAAGAUUCUGACCUUUGGCACAACAGUAGGCAGAAUAACUCAUAACAGUAUGCAUUAUUUUAAAUAUAUCUUAAUUAAGAUAAUAUAAGUUUAUAUUUUAAACUGGAGAAGUAGUAUCUACUUUUUGGUCUAUAGUUUACUUUUGAUUGUUAACACAUAAUGCUUAGAAUACACUAGAGUUCUCUGUCUUGGAACAAUGUGUAUUUUUAAUACAGCUUAUUAGAAUUCUUGCAACUCUGAAGGGAGAGUUCUGGUAUAUAAUACUAUCAACAUUGAGUGCAACAUUGAGUGCAUCUAAUGGCAAUAGUUAUCAGAAAGAUAAAAGAUUCAAAAAUAUUAUGCACUAUGAGAUUAGGUUGGUAAAUUAAGCCUACAAAGUCUGUUUUGGUACAUAAAAGUUUUAUUGGAACACCCACCCAUUCUUUCAUCUGUUGUUAUGCUAUAACUACAGAGUUGAAUAGUUGCAACAGAAUCUGUAUAACCAACAAAGCAAGCAUUCUUACUGUAUGGUCUUAAAUAUUUACCAACCUUUGCCAUGGAAGGGUUCCUAAAGAUGUUUCUAAAGAUCCCUUCCUUAAAAGUGUACAUACAAACUCAUUAUUUCUUACCCUACUAAUUCCCAGAUAAUUUUGAAUAAUGUUAUAUUCUCUUGAGUGUUUUGAGAAAAAAAAUUGAUACUAGCAAUAAUAGUUUUUCUUUAUAGUUUUAGUAUAAGAUGAUUUGAAUGUAAGUUUAAGAAUACUAAACACAUUUCUAUAGUUUUUAUUUUUAUGUGAUAAUCUACCUUUAAGAAAGAUGUGCAGCCGGGCAUGGUGGCGCACGCCUUUAAUCUCAGCACUCGGGAGGCAGAGGCAGGCGGAUUUCUGAGUUCGAGGCCAGCCUGGUCUACAGAGUGAGUUCCAGGACAGCCAGGGCUAUACAGAGAAACCCUGUCUCAAAAACCAAAAAAAAAAAAAAAAAAAAAAGAAAGAUGUGCAUACCAGAGCACCAGGAAGUUGCAUGAGAGAUCACCUGAUAAAAGAACAAGUGAUGUCCAUCUUCAUGAGGAUGUGUAGGUAGCAUUACAAAUUAACAUGUGUGCUUCUGUAUAUCUCUCUCAUCUUUGUUUCUUGUCCUACAAUUUCAAAACAUUUGUGAUACUCUGUGUUAAAUCUAAAUUAACCAUGUUUUGUGCCACAAACUGAUUACCCUUGGAUCCUUUGCUAAAACAAGGAAAUCUUAAAUAAGAAGUAGACUUGUUUGUUGCCAACCAGUAUCUCAAUCAGAAUGUCAAAAGGUUGGUACAGUACAAAGUAAAGAUGAACCACUGCAAUCUUCAGUUUCUGAAAAACCAGAACGUGAGCUUUCUAGGGUCAAAUUUAUGUCCAAUUCCAAUAAAAUAGCAACAUUUUGUAAAAAUAAAUAAAAAACUAAAUAAAUAAGAAGAAAAUAUGA
rnacentral:lncRNA from 1 species